GCCUUGGGGCGCAUGCGUGCUAAGCAAAUUUUUUCGGGGGGUGGCGCAUGCGCGGUGGUUGCGGGCGCGAAGGGCCCCGGUAUGGCGGGAGUCGGUGGCAGCAGCGUUGCGCAGCUCUCUCCGGCUUCCGCGCUGGGUUGCUCUCCUGUGCCGUGUCUGGUGCCUCUGUCUCGCAGCAGCACCUUGUUCGCUUAUUUUCUCUUAAAUGGUGAAUAGAUGAGAAGGCUCCCCCUGCUUCUUGUUAGAGUGGAAGACAGACACUUCAUGGAUCCUGAUUAGAAACAAGAUGAGAAGUCAUCAG
rnacentral:lncRNA from 1 species